CGUAAUGCUUGGAGCAUCUAGAAGGAGUCUCACCAUAAUUCAUGCGCUUGGAAUGGAAAUUCUUGUGAUACAUUCAACACCGUUACCGCUUUUAAUCUCACAGAUGCGUUGAUUUCUGGCAAUUUGACUUCUGGUACGUAGGCCUUCAUUUUCUGGUACAUUCGCCUGUCCCAUCUUAGGGUUUUGACUCUCCAAUGCAAUGCACAAGAGACUAUUGUUGGAAGGGACCGCUGAAAGCAUUGGCUUGGAGGGUAACACCGUGAGAUUGGGCAGGCAAAUUGCCAGAAAUCAAUGGAUCCUUGAGAUUGAUAGUGGUAACGACAUUAUAUCACAGGAAAUUCCUUUCCAACCGCAUGAUAGCGGUUAAGAACAUUCGAAGCUUUGAAUAUGAGCAGAUCAGGAGGAAAUUUUAAGGCGGAAGGAAUAUGCUAAAGGUGAACUAGAGGAGUGAUGUAUACAGCUGGUGGGCGAAUCAAAAUAACGAAUGAGGUGAUACAAUUCUGGAGCCAUAAACCCCCACUAAUACUUAUUAAGAUUGGGUGUUCUUCUUUCAACAUCAGACUAGACAGCCCAAAAUCUGACACUAUGCCCUCAUCCAAAAGCAUGUUUUGAGGUUUGAUGUUCAGUGAAGAACGCACUUUCGACAAUCUUCAUGUUAAAUGGCAAGGCAACAGGCAAUUCCAUAGGCAUUUUCCUAACUGUUUCUUCCAACUUGGAACAGAGGAGCCCCUGGGACAAGUAUAAGAUACAGAGAUGCUAUAAUAGAGUACUCUUCCAAAUGAAGAGAUUGAUAAAUCUAUGGAAAUAUUAGUUGUUUAUCAAUUUCAUGUCGCGCCAAAAUCAUCUGGAAAAGAAUCAGUCUCAUUGGGUUGAGUUUUUCAUU